CCCUUAGAUGUUCUGGGCAGCACGCGCGCUACAAUGGUCUUCGCAAACGGAUGCAUUCUCGAAGGAGAAUGCCAAUCUUGGAAUCUAUGCCUUGGUCGGGACAGUUGCUUGCAAUUUUUCGACUCGAACCAGGAAUUCCUUGUAAUCGUGAUUCAUCACAUCACGAUGAAUACGUCCCUGCCCUUUGUACACACCGCCCGUCGCUCCUACCGAUUGAAUGGUCCGGUGAAAUCUUGGGAUCCUGUGAGACGGUCUUUAUUGCACUGUUUUGUGGGAGAACUUGAGUAAACCUUACCAUUUAGAGGAAGGUGAAGUCGUAACA
rnacentral:rRNA from 1 species